CCUUCGAUAGCUCAGUUGGUAGAGCGGAGGACUGUAGUGGCAUGAGUUGCGGUAAUCCUUAGGUCGCUGGUUCGAUUCCGGCUCGAAGGA
rnacentral:tRNA from 2 species